AGUGAACGCUGGCGGUAGGCCUAACACAUGCAAGUCGAACGGCAGCACAGAGGAGCUUGCUCCUUGGGUGGCGAGUGGCGGACGGGUGAGGAAUACAUCGGAAUCUACUCUGUCGUGGGGGAUAACGUAGGGAAACUUACGCUAAUACCGCAUACGACCUACGGGUGAAAGCAGGGGAUCUUCGGACCUUGCGCGAUUGAAUGCGCCGAUGUCGGAUUAGCUAGUUGGCGGGGUAAAGGCCCACCAAGGCGACGAUCCGUAGCUGGUCUGAGAGGAUGAUCAGCCACACUGGAACUGAGACACGGUCCAGGCUCCUACGGGAGGCAGCAGUGGGGAAUAUUGGACAAUGGGCGCAAGCCUGAUCCAGCCAUACCGCGUGGGUGAAGAAGGCCUUCGGGUUGUAAAGCCCUUUUGUUGGGAAAGAAAUCCAUCUGGUUAAUACCCGGGUGGGAUGACGGUACCCAAAGAAUAAGCACCGGCUAACUUCGUGCCAGCAGCCGCCGUAA
rnacentral:rRNA from 1 species